rnacentral:rRNA from 1 species
GAUGAACGCUGGCGGCGUGCUUAACACAUGCAAGUCGAACGAUGAAGCCCAGCUUGCUGGGUGGAUUAGUGGCGAACGGGUGAGUAACACGUGAGUAACCUGCCCUUGACGCUGGGAUAAGCGCUGGAAACGGCGUCUAAUACCGGAUACGAGCUUCCACCGCAUGGUGAGUUGCUGGAAAGAAUUUCGGUCAAGGAUGGACUCGCGGCCUAUCAGGUAGUUGGUGAGGUAACGGCUCACCAAGCCGACGACGGGGAGCCGGCCUGAGAGGGUGAACGGCCACACUGGGACUGAGACACGGCCCAGACUCCUACGGGAGGCAGCAGUGGGGAAUAUUGCACAAUGGGCGCAAGCCUGAUGCAGCAACGCCGCGUGAGGGAAGAAGGCCUUCGGGUCGUAAACCUCUUUUAGCAGGGAGGAAGCGAAAGUGACGGUACCUGCAGAAAAAGCACCGGCUAACUACGUG